UACGUAGGGUGCAAGCGUUAAUCGGAAUUACUGGGCGUAAAGCGUGCGCAGGCGGUUCUAUAAGACAGAUGUGAAAUCCCCGGGCUCAACCUGGGAACUGCAUUUGUGACUGCACGGCUGGAGUGCGGCAGAGGGGGAUGGAAUUCCGCGUGUAGCGGUGAAAUGCGUAGAUAUCUGGAGGAACACCGGUGGCGAAGGCGGCAUCCUGGACCAACACUGACGCUGAGGAGCGAAAGCCAGGGGAGCAAACGGG
rnacentral:rRNA from 1 species